rnacentral:rRNA from 1 species
CAGCAGCCGCGGUAAUACAGAGGGUGCGAGCGUUAAUCGGAUUUACUGGGCGUAAAGCGUGCGUAGGCGGCUUUUUAAGUCGGAUGUGAAAUCCCUGAGCUUAACUUAGGAAUUGCAUUCGAUACUGGGAAGCUAGAGUAUGGGAGAGGAUGGUAGAAUUCCAGGUGUAGCGGUGGAAUGCGUAGAGAUCUGGAGGAAUACCGAUGGCGAAGGCAGCCAUCUGGCCUAAUACUGACGCUGAGGUACGAAAGCAUGGGGAGCAAACAGGAUUAGAUACCCGCGUAGUCCCUGUCUCUUAUAC